UAUAAUGAAAAUAAAAAGAAAAAAUUAUCAAGUUGGUGUAGGCAACUAUUGUGAUCUAUAUACAUAUGUAUCCAAAAGACUACCAUUUAAUAAGGGGUCCUAUCGACAUAGCUAUUAUGAUAAUUAUUCAAACUACAAGACAACACCCGCGUAGCAAUUUAGACAUUGAGAUACUGCAUGUUGGUGUUGUACUAUCUACUUGAAAAUAUUAUGUCAUUAUUAAUAUUUUACUAUAUGUAUAAAUAAACAUAAGAAGAUGUAUAGGGUUCUGACAUACGUAUUAAUUCGAAUUGAUUGAGUAUUUUACUCUAAAACAGCUGUUAUAGUUAUGUAAAAAAAAAAAAAAAACUCAUAAGUGCGGUAAAACAGGUGAGUUCGAAACAUCGUCGAAGUUGCAUAAGUGCGGUACUAGAAGUUGGUUGGGUGG
rnacentral:lncRNA from 1 species